UGUGCAAGGGAUAGAACAAUCUGAUACAUCCUCCCUCCCUCUUCAUCUUCUUAUUCAACGGAUAAGGCGUUCCUCCUCCCACCUAAACCAAGAAGGCAAGAACAUGCCCUCUCUUUAAUUUUCCUCUCCCUUCCAUAUUAUUAUAGUUUUUUCCUCUCCAAACAUGGGCACUAAAAUUCUCCCUCAGGCACUUGCUGUUAUACCCAGGAGUCCUACUCAAUUGCCUGUCCCAAAGAAAUUAGGUUUUUCUUCAACAAUCAAUCGCAGCUCUUAUCUUUCCAACUCAGCUUCUUCUAGUAGAUUUUCAGUCUCUAGGGUUUCUUCAACCCCAUUCAGUUCGAAUCUUGAAGUAUUUUUUAAGGAAUUUUCGAGGCAGAGUUUUGUAACGAGAGCCGAGUCGGAGUCUGGAGGUGGAGAAGUUGUGGAAGAAACUGAGAAUGUUGAGGAGGAAGUAGUUGUAGAAGGGAGUGAGGAAGAGGAAGUUCAAGCGGAAGCUGAAGUUGAAGGAGCUGUGAAAGAACCCAGAAAGCCUCGAGUUAAGCUUGGAGAUAUAAUUGGGAUUUUGAAUAAGAGAGCCGUGGAGGCUUCAGAGAUGGAAAGGCCGAUUCCCGAUAUAAGGACAGGGGAUAUAGUGGAAAUCAAAUUGGAAGUUCCUGAAAAUAGGCGUAGACUGUCCAUUUACAAAGGCAUUGUCAUAUCUAAGCAGAAUGCUGGUAUCCACACAACUAUUAGAAUUCGGAGGAUUAUUGCUGGUAUAGGAGUUGAGAUCGUAUUCCCACUCUACUCGCCAAACAUCAAGGAGAUAAAAGUAAUUAAGCACAGGAAGGUUAGGAGGGCAAGAUUGUAUUAUCUGAGGGACAAGCUUCCCAGACUCUCCACUUUUAAAUGAGAAAACAUGGAUACUGUCAUUCUCUGGUCCUUUUCUUCUCCAAAUGUGUACCAUGACUGCAGAGAAUUGGCAUGGGAUUACAGAAUGUGCUUCGAUCUAUAUUUUUGCAUCCUUAAUUGGUAUGAUGAAUUUUAUCUUCAAAUAUACGCGCGUCAACAUUAGCUGCUGCUGUUUUUUAUUUUAUUUUUAAAGCGUUGGAAGAGAGUGAUAAUAUAAGAUGCUAUAUGCUAUUAGGAUUGUGGGUAAACUCUUUAUGUGGGAUCAACCUCCAGUGUUCCUCGUUAUUGUCCACUGUUCUUUAGAGAGAUUGCUGUAAUCCAGCCGUUUGGAUUGGUCAUUUGAGGCUGACUAGGUGCUACUUUCAAUUUUUAUCCUUUAUUUUAUUUGUUUGAUUAUAGAAGGCCACCUUGGAGGUUGAAAGAA